rnacentral:lncRNA from 1 species
UUUCCACCUCCGACAAAGCUGUCCCUGAAAGAUCCUGUAGGAUUCAGCCUGCGGAAUCUAGCUAAAAAUUGAACAACAUUUAAUUGCUUAUUAUACUCAAUUACUGAGGUCUCCAUGAAUCACCGAAGCUAAUGUAGAAGCAUGAAAUCAUAGUCCAAGGAGCUAUGAAGAGCUUGGCCCUUUUCCUUCUCUCAGUAGAUGUCAGACUCUGUGUAAGAUGACAGGAUUAUGAGAUGAUCUGAGCUUUCAGAC